rnacentral:rRNA from 1 species
GACGAACGCUGGCGGCGUGCUUAACACAUGCAAGUCGAACGAAGUGGCGAACGGGUGAGUAACGCGUAAUCAACCUGCCCUUCAGCGGGGGACAACAGUUGGAAACGACUGCUAAUCCCGCAUACUGAAGGAGGGGAUUGCGUCUUAUUAGCUAGUUGGAGGGGUAACGGCCAACAAAGGCGAUGAUCAGUAGCCGUGGUGAGAGGGUGAACGACCACAUGGGGAAUGGGACACGGCCCAAACUCCUACGGGAGGCAGCAGUGGGGAAUCUUUCGCAAUGGAGGAAAGUCUGACGGAGCAACGCCGCGUGGGUGAUGACGGCCUUCGGGUUGUAAAGCUCUGUUAAGCGGGACGCGGUACCGGAAUAGAAAGCCACGGCUAACUACGUGCCAGCAGCCGCGGUAAUUC